UACGUAGGGUGCGAGCGUUGUCCGGAUUUAUUGGGCGUAAAGAGCUCGUAGGCGGUUUGUCGCGUCGAAUGUGAAAACCCGGGGCUCAACCCCGGGCCUGCAUUCGAUACGGGCAGACUAGAGUUCGGUAGGGGAGUCUGGAAUUCCUGGUGUAGCGGUGGAAUGCGCAGAUAUCAGGAAGAACACCAACGGCGAAGGCAGCUCGCUGGGACGGUACUGACGCUGAGACGCGAAAGCGUGGGGAGCGAACAGG
rnacentral:rRNA from 1 species